rnacentral:tRNA from 1 species
GGCACCGUGGUUGGUUAACACUUUGGCGUACAUUGCCGAAAUCACUGGUUCGAUUCCAGCUGGUAGCCA